CCUACGGGUGGCUGCAGUGGGGAAUAUUGCACAAUGGGCGCAAGCCUGAUGCAGCCAUGCCGCGUGUGUGAAGAAGGCCUUCAGGUUGUAAAGCACUUUCAGCGGGGAGGAAGGCGGUGAGGCUAAUAACCUCAUCGAUUGACGUUACCCGCAGAAGAAGCACCGGCUAACUCCGUGCCAGCAGCCGCGGUAAUACGGAGGGUGCAAGCGUUAAUCGGAAUUACUGGGCGUAAAGCGCACGCAGGCGGUCUGUCAAGUCGGAUGUGAAAUCCCCGGGCUCAACCUGGGAACUGCAUUCGAAACUGGCAGGCUAGAGUCUUGUAGAGGGGGGUAGAAUUCCAGGUGUAGCGGUGAAAUGCGUAGAGAUCUGGAGGAAUACCGGUGGCGAAGGCGGCCCCCUGGACAAAGACUGACGCUCAGGUGCGAAAGCGUGGGGAGCAAACAGGAUUAGAUACCCUUGUAGUC
rnacentral:rRNA from 1 species